rnacentral:rRNA from 1 species
CAACCUGCCCACCACUUGGGGAUAACCUUGCGAAAGUAAGACUAGUACCCAAUGAUAUCUCUAGAAGACAUCUGAAAGAGAUUAAAGAUUUAUCGGUGAUGGAUGGGGAUGCGUCUGAUUAGCUUGUUGGCGGGGUAACGGCCCACCAAGGCGACGAUCAGUAGGGGUUCUGAGAGGAAGGUCCCCCACAUUGGAACUGAGACACGGUCCAAACUCCUACGGGAGGCAGCAGUGAGGAAUAUUGGUCAAUGGACGAGAGUCUGAACCAGCCAAGUAGCGUGCAGGAUGACGGCCCUAUGGGUUGUAAACUGCUUUUAUAAGGGAAUAAAGUGAGUCUCGUGAGACUUUUUGCAUGUACCUUAUGAAUAAGGACCGGCUAAUUCCGUGCCAGCAGCCGCGGUAAUACGGAAGGUCCGGGCGUUAUCCGGAUUUAUUGGGUUUAAAGGGAGCGUAGGCCGGAGAUUAAGCGUGUUGUGAAAUGUAGACGCUCAACGUCUGCACUGCAGCGCGAACUGGUUUCCUUGAGUACGCACAAAGUGGGCGGAAUUCGUGGUGUAGCGGUGAAAUGCUUAGAUAUCACGAAGAACUCCGAUUGCGAAGGCAGCUCACUGGAGCGCAACUGACGCUGAAGCUCGAAAGUGCGGGUAUCGAACAGGAUUAGAUACCCUGGUAGUCCGCACGGUAAACGAUGGAUGCCCGCUGUUGGUCUGAAUAGGUCAGCGGCCAAGCGAAAGCAUUAAGCAUCCCACCUGGGG